rnacentral:rRNA from 1 species
AUUGAACGCUGGCGGCAUGCCUUACACAUGCAAGUCGAACGGCAGCACGGGUGCUUGCACCUGGUGGCGAGUGGCGAACGAGUGAGUAAUACAUCGGAACAUGUCCUGUAGUGGGGGAUAGCCCGGCGAAAGCCGGAUUAAUACCGCAUACGAUCUACGGAUGACAGCGGGGGACCUUCGGGCCUCGCGCUAUAGGGUUGGCCGAUGGCUGAUUAGCUAGUUGGUGGGGUAAAGGCCUACCAAGGCGACGAUCAGUAGCUGGUCUGAGAGGACGACCAGCCACACUGGGACUGAGACACGGCCCAGACUCCUACGGGAGGCAGCAGUGGGGAAUUUUGGACAAUGGGCGAAAGCCUGAUCCAGCAAUGCCGCGUGUGUGAAGAAGGCCUUCGGGUUGUAAAGCACUUUUGUCCGGAAAGAAAUCCUUGGCUCUAAUACAGUCGGGGGAUGACGGUACCGGAAGAAUAAGCACCGGCUAACUACGUG